UUGGCGGAAAUGUGAUCAUGUGAUAAAAUUAACCGCACGUUUCAUACAGUCUCGGCAGGUCAACGUUCAUUGAGGGGAUUUUAUUGUAAGCAAUACAUUUACAUUUCGCCUACAAGCAUGGCAGUUAUGACGCCGAAGAUGACAGGGUGAGGUGACGCAUGCUCCUUGACGUCAUCUUUUCCACUUGUUUUCUGCAGUGUGACUAGAAUAUUCUCGAUGGAGAAAGCGGGGCUCAGAACGAAGAACAGUGAAAUAAGGGGCUGUGAAGGAACGAUGGUAGCUAUUUUGAAAACCGAUUUCUGGUAAUCUGUGAUGCCGUGCUCGAAAGAGGCUUGGGGUCCAUCUAAUUGCCAGUGAGGCAGUCACUUGAUGCUUUGUUGUGCUCGUGCAGCGUGUGGCGCAGUAAUUUUUCGGAUUGUGGUGAAGAUAGUGCGCAUGCGUGGUUGUGACUGUUUUGUUGCUAAACCUGAAUCACAGACGGCAGGAAAUCAGUAUGGGGGAUGGGAAAUGGCUAGACAGCUACUUGUGGGAUAGAAUGGAAAUGACAGCAAUGAAAAACGUGGGUGUCAAGAUCCCGUAAAAUGUUUCCAGGUGGUUCACCAGAACUUGAACAGCAGCUGUGUGUGCAAGGUAAUUAUGUUUCCAACGCAGGCGCUUUUGAACAAUACUAGGUUGUUGAUUUAUUUUUACCCUCUUGGAGUAUAAAUCAACAAACAACAGUGCUCCCCAUAACGUUUGGGACAAAGGCCUAUUUUUUUCUUGAUUUGGCUCUGUAUUCCACAAUUUUAGAUUUGUCAUCAAACAAUUCACACGUGGUUAAAGUGAAGAUUCACACCUUUUAUUAAAGUUUAAAAAAAAACCAAUACAUUUUGGUUUCACCAUGUAGAAUGACUGCACUUUUUAUACACAGCCCCCUCAGGCCACCAUAAUGUUUGGGACAUAUUAAUGUUAUGUAAAUAAAAGUAAUCAUGUUUAGUGCUUUGUUGCAUAUACUCUGUGUGCAGUGACUUCUUGAAGUCUGUGCCCCAUAGACACCACUGGGUGUUUAGCAUCUCUGGUAAUGCUCUUUAUUUAAAAAAAAAAAAAAAAAAGCUGAGAAUCUGCACUUUAACCACAUAUGAAUUGUUUGAUUACACAUUUAAAAUUGUGGAACAGAUCCAAAUCAAGAAAACAAAAAAGUUUGUCCCAAACAUUAUGGAGCUCAGUGUAUAUGUGUAAAAUUUAGCCAAUUUCUGCACUAUAGUUGACAUUCCUUUUGUAUGUAAACUCCAGGAGUUGGCUAUGGAAAAAUGUCUAAAGUUUUGCCUAUAUGUGCUUUCAGAUAUAUAGACUUGCAUACAACAUAGUGUUUAUGCUAAAUGCUACAUUUGAUGCAUCAGCAGUAAGUGAUUGGAAGUCAGUAAAAGUUGCAAUAGUACAAAAGGACUUCAAAUGAAACCAGACUACCGGUAUUCCACAUUUAUGGUCAUCGUGUAUUGUUCGUUAUGACCCUUGAUCUGCACAUCAUGAUGUUGUAGACACAAGUUGUUCAGUAUUUACUCAUAAAGUAAAACCUUUCAGGUUCAUUCCUAAACUGUAACCAGGAUUCUUUACUGAAUAAUUAAGUAGACUGUGAACCAAAUUAUUCUAAAUAAACUGAUAUGUAAAACAA